UCCCUUACACAAUAGCCAAAACGUACUCAAAACAUGAAGGAACAAACUAACUAAAAGAGAUACUCGAAAUAAAAACUAUAAAUAUAACUAUGAAGUCUUUAGGCGUCCCCUUCGCCGUCUUCCUGCGGAACGGGCUCGGGAACAACGUUUUCCUGAUCUGAAAUGGUUAAAUAAGGAAUGAGCUACACCAGCCCAGUAAAGACAUCACACUAUCUCACCGCCACGGAAGUAAAGGUGGGUAGAAAACAAAAAUGACCAAUGGAGCAUAAUUUAUAACGAACUCGUUUAUUAACAUAAAAACUUUUCCUGUCCACUUACCUCGGUAAGAUCCAUGAAAACAACAUAUGAAAAUAAUAACCUUAUAAUAUCAUGAAAUCAUACACACUUUAUAACAUAACACAUAUCAUACCUUUAUAUUUCAAUCAUCAGAAAAUAGAUUUCCUCUUUUACUAGCCUACUAGUAUCCCUGGGGAUCCAUAGGGGAUCCCCGCUAUACGUGAACCAUUAACAUUUAUAACCUGAUUCCAGGGCCGUCCUCAUACCCCGUCCGGUAUGGGCGCCAAAACCAUGAACCUCAAUACCCCGUCCGGUAUGAGGGUGAAACAGGUCGUCCCCAUACCCCGUCCAGUAUGGG
rnacentral:lncRNA from 1 species